GAAAGCAUCAAUUACAGUGAAUACUCAAACUGUUUAUAAUGCUUAUAAACAGACGUUAGAGCAUGCUAGGCCUAAUAUCCCAACCCCUACUUCGUCCACGUCACAGGCGUCUAAAAGAGCUGCUGGAUUAACAGCUCUUAAAUCGUGGACGGAGUUAAGGAGUUCAGGGGUACUUUUGGAAAAAUCAGUGCUUUUUCGAGAUUGGAUCCGCGCAGA
rnacentral:lncRNA from 1 species